UACAGAGGUGGCAAGCGUUGUUCGGAAUUACUGGGCGUAAAGGGCGCGUAGGCGGCCUUCUAAGUCGGACGUGAAAGCCCCAGGCUUAACCUGGGAACUGCGUCCGAUACUGGGAGGCUUGGAUUCGGGAGAGGGAUGUGGAAUUCCAGGUGUAGCGGUGAAAUGCGUAGAUAUCUGGAGGAACACCGGUGGCGAAGGCGGCAUCCUGGACCGAGAGUCGACGCUGAGGCGCGAAAGCUAGGGGAGCAAACGGG
rnacentral:rRNA from 1 species